rnacentral:misc_RNA from 1 species
GAUAAGCCAUUGCAGCCGCGAGCCUUGACGCCGAGCUUGAGGUAAGGCCGUUGGCGAUGCUGCAAUAGAUGGCGUAUUCUAGAAGCUGCCGCGUCGGUUAAGUUUAGGGCUUGCCGCCUCACGGCAGGUCCGUUUUUCUCCGCCGCUGCUGCCAGCAAUUGCGAAGCCAUAGAUUGAUCGAAUAUCAAAAAUAAAAACUUCAAUUCAGCUUCAGCUUCUCAUUUUAUUCGGACGACGCCUAAUUCGUUGGGAAAAAAGAAUAUGCUGCAGCCAGU